CCCCUGGGACAGCUCAGGAGGUAGAGCACGAGACUCUUGAUCUCAGGGUCGUGGGUUCGAUUCCCGCAUUGCAGGGGG